rnacentral:lncRNA from 1 species
UCUUGAGUCAAUUCAUAAUGAAUACAAGAUCAACUUUCCAAUUCAUGAUCCCUUUUUGUUCUUUGUUCUUUAAUCUCACGGCUAACCCGGGGGUUUCGCCACAUUAACUUGCUUCACAUUAAGUCCAUCAUCGCAGGAACUCACCAGUUAGGACUGUCCUUACGAGUCUACUCCAACCCGGAUGCCAAACUCCGGAGCGCAUCGCCCGAGGGGGAGCGACCGCCCUCCGAGCACGGAACUCAUAGC